GUGCUCGCUUCGGCAGCACGUAUACUAGGAUUGGAACAAUACAGAGAAGAUUAGCAUGGCCCAUGCACAAGGAUGACACACAAAUUCGUGAAGCAUUCCAUAUUUUA
ensembl:snRNA U6 U6 spliceosomal RNA